GCCAUCUUAAGACCCACCAACAACGCGCUUUCUCAUUGGCUCCGGCAUAUCAGCCAAUGGGCUGGGGCCAUUCUGGCCUGCGGUCGCCAUGGCAACCGGCCGAGCUCCACUCUGCUAUUAAAUCCGUGGAUGUUCCUCCCAUCCUGAUGUCCAUGUGACAUGCCAUCCUAACCGGUUGGGUGUUUACCGAUGUAAGUGACCCUGUGGCAAAAGGAGAAGAGCAAAGAGUGAGGAAUGGCUCAAGCUGAGUCUCAAUCAUACUAUAUCCAGGUGUGAUAUCAAAUUGAGUUAAUCUGUAUUUUCUUAACUAGAGACUGAAAAAUUUCUUUCCUAAGAAAUUGUUUUGACUUUUAAGCAGAGGAUACUCAGAUAGGCUCUUACAGACCCUCCUGAAGCAAAAAACUUUGCUUUAUGUAAAUAGCCUUGUUACAGUAAUAAAUAAGGAAACUCAAAAUAAUGGCGCUCUGAAUUUCUAGCCAUCAAGGUUUCCAAAGAUUUACCUUUGGAAAUGAUCAGUCUUUAAGGAGCAAUACUAAAAACACACCAAAUGCCUUAAGUUCCAAAGUCAUACAGGACCAGCAAGGGCAAGAAUUAAAAUGGAGAGUGCUUUGUUCUAGAAGUUACAAAGACCUGGGUACUAACUCUUUUCUCCCAGGCAGGUGGCUUAAACUCCAGGACCUUAGAUGUUUUCAGCUGUGAAACAGGAACAACAGCACCUGCUCUGCCUGUUUUCAUAGGGCUGUAAAGGUCAAGGGCAGAGGCAGCAAUGAACAUACAGCAGCAACCAUACCAAUAGGACACCUGUGUGUAUAAGGAACAGUGAAAUCUGGUACAAGAACCCAGCCUUCAGACUGGCCUGACACCCUUGUGCCUUGCUAUACUGUUGGUGAAAGGUUAUUUGGGAAGGUGGUAAUUGCUGAGAGUACGUUCAAGCUGAAGCAGAAUAACUUGCUUGAAUGUUAAGGAAAAGAAGACUAGAAGGAGCAAAGGGCUCAGCCCUUGAAACUCUGGGAAUCACUUACCGUUAGAGGAGACAGUCUGUGACACUCUUCACAUGGGCUAAGUGGGAGACUUAGGGGCCUAUGGGGUAGGAAGUGCCCUAGAACUUCUGGUCAGAAUGGGUUAAAGAGGGCUGUGAUAAAACUAGUCAUUUUGUUGCCAUCUGAAGGGUGUAUGUAAGUAGAAAACUAGUCUGUAAAAAAUAGAUAGCAGACACUAGCACUGAAUGGUUAACGGGACUCUUUGUGAGACUAUGUGUGAUUUUUAUUCUUUUUUAUUUACACUUCCUAGGUCUUCCACAAUGACAAUGUCUUCUUUUGGCAAUAAACAUGUUAUUUAUAUAAAAAGCAAAUAGACAUUGAAAUGUCAUAUUAUAUGCCAAAACUCUACUUUUUUUCAGUUAUUAGGCUUAUUACCUGAUAGGUAACUUCUCUUAAAGUGGAAAAUGUGCUUCUUGAUCAUCAGCAGUGGUUCACAGCAACCAGUCCUUCACCUCUCAUUUGGAAGUUACAUGCCCUCCUCCUGCACUUGGGGUCCUUCUGCCAGGCAGGGAUUGGUUGCGUGAAGGGGUGUGGCCCAAAUAACCCUUAGGGAUCCAGGCCACAGAGCUAAUGAAGUGCCCCAAGGAAAGAAAGUCUUACCCAUCAGCUAUGAAUUCUCUCGCCGCCCCCAACGCCAGAGACCUGGGGGCACGUGACCUAGGAAUGUGCAUCCCCAGAUAAUGCUACCUUCAGAGAACUCUACUUAUAGUGGCGGAAUUGAGUCACUGCAGCAGCUGAAGCCAAGUGCUUUUCCUUCGAGGCUCAUUGCCUGUUUCUUAGUUCUGGGAAGACAGCUCAGGAGAUGGUAAAGUUAAGGGAAAUGAAGACGUUGGAAUGAUUGUGAUUCCAAAGAGCCAAGACCUCUUUGGGAAGGAGAAGGAAGGUGGGCAACUACCAUCUUCUAACAUCCUAUAAUGCUUAUUUAUUAUGUUUAUUGUUUAUUGUCUGUGUCUCUCUUCAUAAUGUUACUUCCCCAAGGGCAGGGGUAUUUGACUACUUUGUUUAUCAAUGUAUCCAAAAGGCCUAUAAUGGAGCUUCAUACCUUUUAGACACUCAGUAAAUAUUUGCUGAGUUGAAUAAGUAGCUGCAGGUCUAUAGACUAUGCCUUUUUGAAGACAGUGCUCGAUGUGGUUAUAAGACAAGGUCAUUGACAGCUUAUCUUCUUCCCUUGUCUUACCCUUGGACUUGAUUUGAGCCUCUGUGAUUAGGAAGAUGAGGCUUGUUGAAGCUGUUUUCAGAAGAGGCUAUGAGACUCUGGGGACCAGAAGAACUGCCCUGGGGGCCCAGAAAGGAAAAAGGUAAUAAAUAAUGAAGAAAAGGAAAAGCCAUGAGAUACAAACAAACUCAAAAAAGAAAUGGAACAGGCUUCUGGCUUCUGGUAAUCCCCGUGCACAUAACAGCUGUAAAUUCUGGACAAAAUAUAAAAAGCAGCUGUCUAAAGGCACCAGAGAAUUCCAAGCAGGCAAAUGCUUGGGGGCAGUCUGCAUUUGGAAGAAGCAAAUGACAACAGGCAAGUUUCCCAUGAUUACUGCUUUUUGCCAGAAAGCAGGACUCGGUCCUUGCCAAAUAGGAGUCACUAAAAACUUGGAUAGAAAACCUGAGGUCCUACUGACAUGAGGAUCCAGGAGGUAGAGUUCAAGGUGAUUGCAGUAACUGAAAAGUGAGGGGGGACUCUUGAAGAGCCAAGGCAAGGGGGCAAGGGGCCAUGGGGGUGGGCCAUGUGCCCUGUGCAUAAACUCUACACAAAUCAUUGCGGACCCCCAACCUUCUGUGCAAGCAGCCUAGCUAAAGCUAAAGGAAUGGAACAGAGGUUUCUGUGCCUGUUUGCUGCAAGGGAGACACUUUGGAGUCUGAGGCUAGUUAACAGCUUACUUAAAAAAAAAAAAUCAAGAUUCUUCAGAGGAACACAACAAAAUCCAGGGGCUCUACAAUAUAUAUCAUUCAUAACUCCUUGAAUGACCUUGAAGAUACCGAAUACAUGAAGAAAAAAAGAAAAUGUGAGCCAAAAACCAAUCAAUGGAGACUGACUCUAAGAUAACUCAGUGGCUUGAAUUAGCAAACAAGAAUUUUAAGUCAGGCAUUGCACCCGUGCUCAUUAAUGUAAAGGAAAAUAUGGAAAGAAUUAGCAAAUGUGAUGUCUCAAUGGAGAACUAGAAACUGUACAAAAGAAUCAAAUGGAUAUUCUAAAACCAAAAAGACACAAUAUUAGAAAUGUUUUCAUUGUGUAGGUCUGGCAUGGUGUUGUGUAGAUGACUGAAUAGACAGAGAACUUGAAAAUAGAUCAGUAGAAAUAAUUCUAUGAGAAGGGAUUUCCUGGGAACUUCCAUGUGCUGCAGGCUCAGCCCUAAAAAGAAAAAAAAAGAAAAGAAAGAAAUCUAUGAGAAGAACAUACAGGAAAAAAAUUGGUGAAAAAUGAGCAGAGCCUCAAGAACCUCUGAAACAAUAUCAAAAGAUCUAAUGUUCAUGUAAUUGGAAUCCUGGAGGGAGAGGGGAGAAAGAAUGGGAUAGAAAAAACUUUGAGGAAAUUUAGUAUAUGCAUAUGUAAUAUCUAUGACAGAUGUCAGGGUAUGACAGAUAUAUUCUAAAAUGUGAUUUUAGAUUUUACAUAUAUUACAUGUGAAUAUUCAAAUAUAGAUUAUAAUUUAUAUAUAGUUAUAUAUAUAAUUAUUAUAAACAUGUAUGAAACAGAGCUUCAAAAUAUAUUUUUAAAAAAUAAACAAUUUAAAGGGAAAAAUAGACAAAUCCACAAUCAUAGUUGGAGAUUUCAACCCUAUUUUCUCAACAGUUGUUCUUAAAAAACUAGACUUUAAAAAAA